rnacentral:rRNA from 1 species
UAAAAAAUUUUGGCGGUAUUUUAAGCUUAUUAGAGGAAUUUGCUCUGUGAUGGACACAACGCCUUAAUCUUACUUAAUUUAGUAAUUUAAAUCAGUUUGUAUACCACUAUAUUAAUUAUAUUGAAUAGUUAUAUUUAAAAUUUUUUUAAAAAAAUAUAUUAAGUCAAGGUGCAUCUAAUAAUUAUGAAUGAAGUGAAUUACAUUAAUUUUAAUGUAAUUUUUUUCAUGAAAAAAUUAAUUAGGAUUUAAUAGUAAAAUACUAAUAUUAUGAGUAUUUGAAUCAAGCUCUAAAAUAUGCACAUAUCGCCCGUCGCUCUCAGAAGUGAGAUAAGUCGUAACAAAGUAAAAAUACUGGAAAGUGUUUUUUAAAAUGAAAUCCUUUGAUGUUUCAUUUACAAUGAAAAUUUUGUUGUUUAACCAUUUUAA